GAGAAAAGACACAAAAGGAACAGAGACCUUACAACCGUUUAUUCUUUUAUCGUUUAUUCUUUUAUCGUUUAUUUUUUUAUCCUUAUCAAAGUUAUGUCAUCCGUCGUGUAGCUUAUAUUCAAGAGAUGUGUAAUGUCUUUAAUUGGAAUACGUCAGUAACAAGAAGAUAGAAGUCACUCCAAUAACUAAAUAUUGAUCUUUGUUUAUGUCUUCUGUUUAUCGGAUUCAGGUACAAGAAAAGGGAAAGAGUGAAGGAGAUGGAAAUUAGGACCUUUCUUCCUGUAUCU
rnacentral:ribozyme from 1 species